CUAAGGUGGCUAGAUUGUAGGCACCGAAUUAUUACCAACUCAAAUACUUCUUUUUCAAAGCAAGACAUGGAAGGAGAAAGAAAGAUUGGGUUUCAUAUUUGGAGAAAGGACUCAGAAGUUUUUAUGCUGUGCUGGAAAUAAAAGACUCUCCUUCAUAACCCUCAAUAUGGUGGACUUUCCACAAUUUCCUGUGGCCUUGAGAAAGAUGUAGAGUCUCACUCCUUUGCCCAGGCUCAAAUGCAGUGGCACAAUAAUCGCUCAUUGCAAGCUUGAACUACUGGGAUCAAGUGAUCCUCCUGCCACAGCUUUACAAAUAGCUGAACUACAGCUGUGCAUCACUACCUCCAGCCACAGAAACAACAAAUGUUUAUUAUAAUACAGCUUUGGAGGUCAGAAGUAGUCUCAUGGGUCCAAAGUCAAGAUGUGAACAGAGCUAGUUCGUUCUGGAGGCUCCUGGGGAGAAUUCCUUUCCUUAAACUUUUCAGCUUCUAGAGGCGAAUCUUUUUGUCCAAUCCAGAGCACGUUGUUGAAUGAGAACGUUGUUUAUUUUCUGUAUUUUCAACCCAUUUACCUGUAUAUUAUCUGAACCAAGUGGGCUAAAAUGGGUUAAUGAAUUAAAGAGGUAGAAGAGAUAAAGAAAGGAGGUGAGUAACUCAGUUACUGUCUAAAUCAAAAAUAAUGAGCAUGGAUUAAG